GCAGUAGCCGCGGUAAUACGUAGGGGGCGAGCGUUGUCCGAAGUUACUGGGCGUAAAGAGCGCGUAGGCGGGUCUUUAAGUGAGGGGUGAAAGGUUCAGGGCUCAACCCGGACACUGCCUUUCAUACUGGAGACCUUGAGUGUGGGAGAGGCGAGUGGAAUGGUCGGUGUAGCGGUGAAAUGCGUAGAUAUCGAUCGGAACACCCAUGGCGAAGGCAGCUCGCUGGCCUAUAACUGACGCUGAGGCGCGAAAGCGUGGGGAGCAAACAGGAUUAGAUACCCCCGUAGUCCCUGUCUCUUAUA
rnacentral:rRNA from 1 species